rnacentral:rRNA from 1 species
AGUGAACGCUGGCGGUAGGCCUAACACAUGCAAGUCGAACGGCAGCACAGUAAGAGCUUGCUCUUACGGGUGGCGAGUGGCGGACGGGUGAGGAAUACAUCGGAAUCUACUUUUUCGUGGGGGAUAACGUAGGGAAACUUACGCUAAUACCGCGUACGACCUACGGGUGAAAGCAGGGGAUCUUCGGACCUUGCGCGAUUGGAUGAGCCGAUGUCGGAUUAGCUAGUUGGCGGGGUAAAGGCCCACCAAGGCGACGAUCCGUAGCUGGUCUGAGAGGAUGAUCAGCCACACUGGAACUGAGACACGGUCCAGACUCCUACGGGAGGCAGCAGUGGGGAAUAUUGGACAAUGGGCGCAAGCCUGAUCCAGCCAUACCGCGUGGGUGAAGAAGGCCUUCGGGUUGUAAAGCCCUUUUGUUGGGAAAGAAAAGCAGCAGGUUAAUACCCCGCUGUUCUGACGGUACCCAAAGAAUAAGCACCGGCUAACUUCGUG